rnacentral:rRNA from 1 species
AGGGAUAACCGCUGAAAGCAUCUAAGCGGGAAGCCUGCUUCGAGAUGAGUAUUCCCACCUCCUUGAGAGGGUAAGGCUCCCAGUAGACGACUGGGUUGAUAGGCCGGAUAUGGAAGCCCUGUAAGGGGUGGAGUUGACCGGUACUAAUAGGCCGAGGGCUUGUCCUCAGUUG